GCCCAAAAUAUUCUUUGACUUGUUUCUAUAACACUUGACGCUUGAGAUAAUGAUGAGAAUUUUAUACAUUUUUCUUUUAGUUCUAAAAUUAAACAAACGGUGCUUUCUACAUUGCCGUCCAUCCAUAUCCGUAUCCUUUAAUCGUAUCCUGAAUACGUGCAUGUUGCCAAAGUUUAUUACUACAAUCCCUCGUGGGAUGCAUAUAUAACUCAUACGCAUAUUUUAAUAAAUAUACAAAACAUGAUGCAUCAUACACGACAUUAUUUGUUUAUAUUAUUUUUCAAGGUUCUUUCAAAGCAUUAACUUCCAUUGAACGCUGCUUCUCUAUCUUCCAGAACAAUAUAAACAUGAAGACACUAAACGCCAGCAAAACAACAAGCACCAGCUCCUCCACUUCAACCGUCUUCUACUUCUAGCACACUGCAUUCGUUAAAUACUUCGUCUGGGAGUAAACAGUGGCAACAUAAUGCGACUUCUUUGGCAUAUUAAAAUCUGUGCAUACUUAAAUCAUUGCUUCGUGCAUUGAUUAUUGUUUAAACACUUCUUAAUGCUGCCACAAUAAAAUUAAGUGAGCGUGAAAAGGUGUGAAUCGGCAGAGUAUAAAAAGUUUGAGAGAAAGAGAUUCCGAAUUCGCGAACCCAGUUAUACAAUAAAACGUUUUAGACAAUA